GGCUGGACUUGGGCGCAGAAGCAGCUGAGCUGGGAGGCGGGAGGUGCGAAGCGAAGUCAGUUGUCUGCAGAUCUUCUUGCAGCGGGUUCAUUGAGCCCUUGGACUUAAGGCAGGGUUGUGUGUACGUGCGUGUUAUAAUUUCUUCUUUGUGUUUUGAGUGAGCUGGUACAUGUUGUACAUUGGUGUUUGGUGAUCUCACGGCUGGAGAUUGAGCGCGCUCUGCACCAUGGGAGAGGUGGAACCGGACAAGGAGAGGAGAGGAGAGGGCAGCGUUCUUCCGCCCAAAGGCCCCCCGUGGUGGCGCUCCACCCGCUUCAUGCUCGCCCUACUAGCCUCCUUCGGGUACGGCAACUUCUUCCUCCAGAGGAUCAACCUGAGCAUGGGUGUCGUCUGCAUGGUCAACCACACAGCCGUGGACCUGCUUACGUCACACCACCAGGGGACGCUGCAGAUGGCAACAGGAGGAGGAGCAGGAGACGAGUUGACCAUGAUGAAUUAUAAUUAUUCAGAGGAGUACAGCGCCAAUGACGUCACGACGUGGGGAUUGGUGGACACGGGGAACAACUCUUUCACAGACGGAACAUGCUCACCUCUCCACGCGAAAGAGCUGCAAAAGGAGGACGGACAGCUGGUCUGGAGCAAGAGCACACAAGGCAUCAUCCUGGGUGGGCUGUACUGGGGCUACCUGCUGCUCCAGCUGCCCUCACAGAGGAUCAUCCAACACCUUGGCUGCAAGCGGCUGUCUCUAGGCUGUGUCCUGCUCAUGUCGCUGCUCACCAUGGCUCUGCCUGCGGCCGCCCGGCUCAGCCCCUGGCUUAUGAUGUCCAUCAGGGUUGCGCAAGGCCUAUUGUCAGCUCUGGGAGUCCCCGCCAUCUACUGUAUGUGGGGUGCAUGGGCACCGCCCCAGGAGAGGACAACUCUGAUCAGCAUUUGCUUCUCCGGGAGUAUGAUCGCCAGCGCUAUCGUGUAUCCCAGCUCUGGCCUGCUGUGUCGUUUUGGGUUUGCUGGUGGCUGGCCAUCUGUCUUCUAUGUGUUCGGCAUUGUGGGUCUGGUCUGGUGUGUUCUCUGGAUGUUUCUCAUGUACGAAACUCCAGACACACAUCCUAGGAUAGAUCCCAGGGAAAGAGAGUUUAUCAAGCAAAGUAUUGGAGGGACGAACAAGGAAAAUAGGGGUGCUAUUCCAUGGCUGAAAAUCUUCAGUUCCAUCCCUGUGUGGGCUGUGGUUGUGGCUCAGCUGGGCUACAAUUGGGCAUUCUUCAUGCUGCUUGCCAUGUUACCUCAAUACAUGAAGGAAGUCCUGCAGUUGGAUAUCCAAUCGAAUGGGUUUUACUCUAUGCUGCCAUACGUUGCCCUGUCUCUGUGCACCAACAUCUGGGGAAGCCUCUGUGAUUGUCUGCUCAGAAGAAAAGUCGUAUCUCUGACGGGAGUCCGCAAGCUGUCCACUGCUGUCGGGCUUUUUAAUCAACCCGUAUGACAUAGCGCCGCGAUACGCCACUGCCGUACUUUGUCUGUCUAACACCAUAGCUGUGGGCUCAGGAAUUGUCUCUCCUUACGUGGUUGCAGCCAUGACUGUCAACAAAACCAGGGAGGAAUGGCAAGGAGUGUUCUUCCUCACCUCAGGAAUCGGUUUGGCCUGUUUGGUAUUCUAUCUCAUCUUCGGAAGCGGGGUCGAGAUGGAAUGGGCGAAGGCACCCAAAGACCGUCCUAAUCUUGAUGCAAAGCCUACAAAUACAAAGGCUGUGCCAUCCUCUGACUUUGAGUAUACUGUUAAAGACCCUCUUGAUAUAAAUCUGUUGAAUAAGAAAAAUAAGCAAGUCAAAGACACUUCUGGAGAGGGUGAAGCUGAAGAGUUUUUGAGUAAAAGUGCUUCCAUUGAAAAAAUUGUUUAACUGAUCUUGGCUCUGACCUUAUCUUCAUAUGUAUCAUGGCAUGCUGGAGCCAGGCGCCCAUUAAUUUUUGGACAUAUAGAGUUGUUUGUAUAAUCUUAAAGCUUGUUCUUUUGUCUUGCUUUUGAUGAAAUAAAUACUUGUCUAUCAUUCUCUCCAUUCGCAGGAAAUAGAAACCAAUGUUAAGAUCAUCAGUAUUUCAAUUAUGAUAGCAUAUUUUAUGGUCCAUUCACUUAUCUUGUGUGAACAACAAAGUGAGUUGGUUUCCAUUAUAUUUCCAUUUACAACUUAUUAAAACCAUGGCUGACUGGAUAUAUUUUUUCAUGAAAAC
rnacentral:misc_RNA from 1 species